rnacentral:rRNA from 2 species
AGGGUGCAGGGCGGAUGCCUUGGCACUAGGAGCCGAUGAAGGACGUGAUAAGCUGCGAUAAGCUUCGGGGAGUUGCACGUAAACUUUGAUCCGAAGAUUUCCGAAUGAGGAAACUCACUUAGAGUAAUGUCUAAGUAUCAUUAAGUGAAUACAUAGCUUAAUGAGGGGAACUCAGGGAACUGAAACAUCUAAGUACCUGAAGGAAGAGAAAGAAAUUCGAUUCCGUAAGUAGCGGCGAGCGAACGCGGAUUAGCCCAAACCAAUAAAGUUUUCUUUACUGGGGUUGCGGACAUAUCAUAACGAAGAGGUAUCGUAAUUGAAGAGGUUUGGAAAGACCCACCACAGAAGGUAAUAGUCCUGUAUGUUAAACGAGAAGACUUCAGAUAUGAUCCAGAGUACCACGGGACACGUGAAACCCUGUGGGAAGCAGGAGGGACCACCCUCCAAGGCUAAAUACUACCUAGUGACCGAUAGCGUAUAGUACCGUGAGGGAAAGGUGAAAAGAACCCCGGGAGGGGAGUGAAAUAGAACCUGAAACCCUGCACUUACAAGCUGUGGAAGCACAUUUCUUGUGUGACCGCGUACUUUUUGUAGAACGGGCCAACGAGUUACGUUAAGUAGCAAGGUUAAGCACUUAAGGUGCGGAGCCGUAGCGAAAGCGAGUUUUAACUGAGCGUUCAGUUACUUGACGUAGACCCGAAACCGGGCGACCUACCCAUGAGCAGGAUGAAGCGAAAGUAAAAUUUCGUGGAGGUCCGAACCCACGAGCGUUGAAAAGCUCGGGGAUGACUUGUGGGUAGCGGUGAAAUUCCAAUCGAGCCCGGAGAUAGCUGGUUCUCCCCGAAAUAGCUUUAGGGCUAGCCUCAAGGUGAGAGAUACGGAGGUAGAGCACUGAAUGUCCUAGGGGGUAUUGCACCUACCGAAGACUAUCAAACUCCGAAUGCCGUCAUCUUAUACUUGGGAGUCAGACUGUGGGUGAUAAGAUUCAUAGUCGAAAGGGCAACAGCCCAGAUCGUCAGCUAAGGUCCCUAAAUGUAAGUUAAGUGGUAAAGGAUGUGGGAUUGCACAGACAACCAGGAUGUUGGCUUAGAAGCAGCCACUCAUUCAAAGAGUGCGUAAUAGCUCACUGGUCGAGUGAUCCUGCGCCGAAGAUUUCCGGGGCUAAAACUUACUACCGAAGCUACGGCAUCAGUAAUGAUGGGUAGGGGAGCUUCCCAUACGGGUUGAAGCAUGACCGUAAGGACAUGUGGACAGUAUGGGAGUGAGAAUGUUGGCAUGAGUAGCGAGAUGUGGGUGAGAAUCCCACAGGCCGUAAACCCAAGGUUUCCAGGGGAAGGUUCGUCCGCCCUGGGUUAGUCGGGACCUAAGCUGAGGCCGAAAGGCGUAGGUGAUGGACAACAGGUUGAUAUUCCUGUACUACCGAUAACCGUUUGAGAGAAGGGAUGACACAGUAGGAUAAGCUAAGCACACUGUUGGUUAUGUGUGCCCAAGCAUUGAGGCAGUCAAAGCAGGCAAAUCCGCUUUGAUAAUGCUGGGAUGUGAUGGGGAGCGAAAUUUAGUAGCGAAGUAGCUGAUUUCACACUGUCAAGAAAAGUCUCUAUCGAGGUUAAAGGUACCCGUACCGCAAACCGACACAGGUGGGUGAGGAGAGUAUCCUAAGGCCAGCGAGAGAACUGUUGUUAAGGAACUCGGCAAAAUGACCCCGUAACUUAGGGAUAAGGGGUGCCACCAUCCGGUGGCCGCAGAGAAUAGGCCCAAGCGACUGUUUACCAAAAACAUAGGUUUCUGCUAAGUCGCAAGACGAUGUAUAGGAGCUGACGCCUGCCCGGUGCUGGAAGGUUAAGGGGAUCUGUUAGAGCAAUCGAAGCAGUGAACUUAAGCCCCAGUAAACGGCGGCCGUAACUAUAACGGUCCUAAGGUAGCGAAAUUCCUUGUCGGGUAAGUUCCGACCCGCACGAAAGGCGUAACGAUUUGGGCACUGUCUCAACAACAGACUCGGUGAAAUUGUAAUUCCGGUGAAGAUGCCGGAUACCUGCGACAGGACGGAAAGACCCCAUGGAGCUUUACUGUAGCUUGACAUUGGGUCUUGGUACUACAUGUACAGGAUAGGUGGGAGGCUUUGAAACCAGGACGCCAGUUUUGGCGGAGCCAUCCUUGGGAUACCACCCUUGUAGUACUGGGACUCUAACCAUAGGCCAUGAAUCUGGUCUUGGGACACUGUCAGGUGGGCAGUUUGACUGGGGCGGUCGCCUCCCAAAAGGUAACGGAGGCGCUCAAAGGUUCUCUCAGUACGGUCGGAAAUCGUACGUAGAGUGUAAAGGCAAAAGAGAGCUUGAUUGCAAGACAUACAGGUCGAGCAAGGAUGAAAAUCGGACUUAGUGAUCCGGUGGUUCUGCGUGGAAGGGCCAUCGCUCAACGGAUAAAAGCUACCCUGGGGAUAACAGGCUUAUCUCCCCCAAGAGUCCACAUCGACGGGGAGGUUUGGCACCUCGAUGUCGGCUCAUCACAUCCUGGGGCUGUAGUAGGUCCCAAGGGUUGGGCUGUUCGCCCAUUAAAGUGGUACGCGAGCUGGGUUCAGAACGUCGUGAGACAGUUCGGUCCCUAUCCGUCGCAGGCGUAGGAAAUUUGAGAAGACCUGUCCUUAGUACGAGAGGACCGGGAUGGACGUACCUCUGGUGUACCAGUUGUCCUGCCAAGGGCAUGGCUGGGUAGCUAUGUACGGAAUGGAUAAGCGCUGAAAGCAUCUAAGCGCGAAGCCAACUUCAAGAUAAGAUUUCCCACCGCAAGGGUAAGACCCCAGAAAGACUAUCUGGUUGA